AUUGCAGCCUGCAACUCGGCUGCAUGAAGCUGGAAUCGCUAGUAAUCGCGGAUCAGAAUGCCGCGGUGAAUACGUUCCCGGGUCUUGUACACACCGCCCGUCACACCAUGGGAGCCGGGAAUGCCCGAAGUCAGUGGCCCAACCGCAGGGAGGGAGCUGCCGAAGGCAGGCCCGGUGACUGGGGUGAAGUCGUAACAAGGUAUC
rnacentral:rRNA from 1 species